UUCCAUUCUCUCUCUCUCUCGUAGAGUAGGCCAGAAGGCUAAACUGGAUAACCUAACCUCUAUCAAAAUAAAAAGAUGGCGGAGCCGCAAAAGUUCUUCUGUGCAAAGGUGUUUAUUUACAAGUGAUUCCGGAACAAAAAACAACAGUACUGCCAUCAACGUCUACCUUAUGGGACAGCUUAAAAACAAUGCUGCCCCAUCCACAGCUCAAUCCAAAAUGCCUCUCCAUAACUGAAAGAGAGGCUCCUUUUGUAGGGCUAGCCCCUCCCCUCAGAACAAUUAACCCUAAUUAAUUAAUCAAUUAACAAUACAAACCUACAUUUUCCAUGAACUAAACAUACUAAAGGAUAUACAUUGCAACACGGUUUUAAACAAUAUCACAACAUUACAUCACUACUGACAAUAUCUUUCAAUAUGCCCGUAUGCAUUAAUGAGCCAUUUGGGACAGGCACUAUAAAGCCAACCCAAUUCCCUUAGCUCGGGUCCUUUUCCAGCAUACCCGGAAGCUACAGAGAUGGAGAGAGAGGAACAGAACAAACAAACAAUGCGCUCAUCCACAACAUUGAUAAGUGCUAGUAGACCUGAGCUCUAAGAACGUUCGGGGUCUGUACGAGGCACAGGUCAAGGUGGUGGUGGGGGGUCGACCUCUGACCUUUUACAGCCUGGUGGGUUUGGAGAACGGGUCCUUCUACCGUAGAAUGCCACGCAUCAUCGCUCUGGCGCUGGGAGCUCUCAAAACGUAAACACUAUCAACAACAGAACAAACACACGUCAAAGACUCAGUGAAGAAGUGGUCUGGAGUCAGCUUGUGGCGGCAGAGACCAUAGACAUUAUCUGCUGUGGAAAUGAACCCAGAAGUGACCAGGAGACUGGAGACUACUCAUUCAGAUGGGAGGAGAGAGGGCAGGCGGUGGGCAUUCUAGGAGAACUAAACAUAAUAUACACACACACACACACAUAGAGCUGCCAUAUCUGUGUCAGUAUAUCACCUGUGAUUCUCUCAAAGCAACUCUGCUUGUACUCUCUGAAGAACACAGACAGGAGUGGGACAUUACAAUAUGAUAUAAUUUCAGCCCACUGGAGAGCCUGACCUCUGACCUCUAUCUGUACACACAGCCUUGAAUGUGUGCCUUGCAACCGUUCAUGGAGAUAUCUUGUUGUUCUCCAUGGCUGGCAUAAUACAGUGAGACGCAGCCCAUUCUAUGAGCCGGUUUAAAUUAAAAAAUGUCUGUCUUUUGAAAACAAUCCUAAAGCAUUGAUUGUACAUGCUGUACGUUGGUAUCUUCGUUUUGCUAUAUUUAUUUGCAUAGAGAGACAUGCUUUGUAUUUUUGUAAAAAAUCUCAGUAAAAUUAUUAUCUUCUGUGCUUGGCGAUACAGUAUGCUGUAAGGUAAUGUGAAGUGGUGAUACAGUAUGCUGUAAGGUAAUGUGAAGUGGUGAUACAGUAUGCUGUAAGGUAAUGUGAAGUGGUGAUACAGUAUGCUGUAAGGUAAUGUGAAGUGGUGAUACAGUAUGCUGUAAGGUAAUGUGAAGUGGUGAUACAGUAUGCUGUAAGGUCAUGUGAAGUGGUGAUACAGUAUGCUGUAAGGUAAUGUGAAGUGGUGAUACAGUAUGCUGUAAGGUAAUGUGAAGUGGUGAUACAGUAUGCUGUAAGGUAAUGUGAAGUGGUGAUACAGUAUGUUGUAAGGUAAUGUGAAGUGGUGAUAUAGUAUGCUGUAAGGUAAUGUGAAGUGGUGAUACAGUAUGCUGUAAGGUAAUGUGAAGUGGUGAUACAGUAUGCUGUAAGGUAAUGUGAAGUGCACAGCAGUGAACGCUUGUCCUUGUUUCAACUCUGAUCUCAUUCAUUUAUAAAUUAUUUUUAAAAAUCUA